CAUAUUCCGCUGUCGGACGUCACACACACACACACACACACACACACACACACACACACACACACACACACACAUGCACACACACACACACAUGCACACAUCCAGGAGCAUGUUUUUAAAAAAAUAAGUUCUGUUGCAAUAACUCUUGCAUCUGUUUCAUUUUUGUCUCUCUUUUCAUUUGCUUUUCCACCCAGGAUUCGCUCCAUUCUUUUCUUCUUCUCAGAACAAUACAGAACAUAUAACGCUUCAUGCUGGGAGAACAGCUUUGGAAGAGAUUGCAACCAAUUAAAGGAAGCAGUUCUCUUCUUUGAAGAAGUGCGGCACACAAGACGAAGUGCAGGUGGCAAAGGGGCAAGGAAGAACAGAAGAAGCGGAGCUUUGCACCAGGGUCACUUCAUCUUCGCCCUGCACCGACCUGCCUCUACAUCUGCAGCUCCUAUUGCCUCAUCAACAAGCACUUUGAACGUCAGCUGUGCCCAACUGACAUUGUGGUCUAUGUGGAUCAGACCCCUGGGAUUUGACGCAUGCUACUGUCCUACUUCAGCUACUUUUUCUGUGGCUCCUCAGAGCACUAGGCUGUCCUCCUCUAUGCAACCAACUGUGCCAUUAAGGCACAAGCUACCUGUUGGAAUGCAACACAAGGCCUUUAUUAACAUAAAUUUCUACUUAAAGGUGACAUGUUAUGACCUUUUUCCAAAGUUAAAAUAGUUCAAUGGUCAAUACAAAACAUGUUGAUGAAGUUCUGUGAAUAAAAUCCCUCUCACAUGAGAGAUUUCAGCAGUUUUAAUCUUAACAGCUUCAACUGGCCACGCCCACCCAUCCCCCGAUCAGGCUGCUAUAAGCUGAGAAGCUCCGACAUCCAGGAGGGGCUCGAAGUCGAGCUGCUGCUCUUCCAGCGGCAGCUGUCUCUUGCAUGGGAGAGGUGUUUCUAUUCUAAUUCUCCCUUUUGUGAUGUCGUAAACGGGGACCUUUUGAAAUGGCGUGUUUUAGACACAUAUGUUCUAAAACCAAACACUGAUAGAAAACAGAUGGAUUUUUUUAUACAUUUGAAAUGUUUAUAGAGGCAGUAGAGUGAGUUUUAGAUAAUAUGUCCUCUUUAAAGGUGCAAUAUGUAAGAAUGAUAUCCUGUGGUCAAAUUAGGUCGCUGUAGUCCAUUUUCUUAAGCCAUAAAGUCACUUUCCUGGCUGUUGCCAGUAAUGGAUCUGCACCAGAAGAUUCUAGAUGACAAACUUGAGCCAUUCACAGUAAGCUGGUAGUAGAUAAAUACAUUAUUAUAUUUGGUGUUGGCACCUGUGUUUUACGGUAAGGAAGAUUUACUACUCGUAUUACAGUAAUAUUUCUCUAGCAUUACAGGGAGUGCAGUUGUUUUUCAUCUUGCUGUGAGCUUGCUGUUAUUGCUCUGAACAAGCCAUUAAAGGAAGUAAAACGCCACGACAGACUCAUUAUUCACUUCACAUACAUUUCACUGUCAUUCCAUGCUGUUGUUCUUUUUCAAACACAGAAACAGUUUCGUUUCUGUGUUUUAAAAAGAACGACAGCAUGGAAUUAGAACCACGACACAGCAUGAACACACCUAAGAAUUCACUGUCACAUCGAGUUGUUGAUAAUUGAGGUUGCUUGAGAUAUUUUUAGAGCAGACUAUUUGCUUCUAAUUCAUAGUUAGCACUGUUAGCUCAAUGUUAGCCUUUGGCAUGCUUCACCUGAUAUUAAAACAAAAAGAGUCUAUGGCUUCGUAGGGGUAUAAGAAAUGACUUCUGGGUCACUCCGGUUUACUGGCUUUGGUUCUUUAAACAACUCUACAAAUGCCUGCGAUGCAGGAUUAGCUUGCUGCAGAUCCAGCAACAUCACAAACAGUAACUAUGUCCAACUUUGUUUUUUCAAAUGGAGAAAAGCCGGCACCCCCCAGCCGGCUGAGAUUGAAACGUGUUUCAGGAUAACCUUUCUUUCAGCACGACUGAGACAUUAGACUGUUUUGUGAUUAUUUCAGUGUAGAAUUCUUACAAAUAGAAAGUUUUUUUGCGUAAUUUUUCAUAAUAGAAAUGGUCACAUUCACUUCAAUCAGGCAACCAAACUGCUCUGUAAGAUGAAUUUGUCUUUGAGAUUAAAUGACCCUGCUUCACUCAGCUGCAAAUACCAUCCACUGAAACGGUCAACCCACAGGCCUGAGACAUCAAAUAAAGCUAAACUGAUACGAGUCUGUAUCUAUGCUGUACUGGUCCCACUGGACCUGUCUCCUCCACUCCUGCCUCCCUGAUGUUUGUUACUGCCUGCAUCCUCAUCUAAUGCAUUUGUCCGUCUGUGACUCUUAUCCAUCUGUUUUAUUCUUCUCAAGACAGAAAGACACUUAUGUCCUUAUGUUAGUUUCUUGGUUUUAUGUUAUUGUUAUGAGUUUUUGACUUCCCUCAAGAUGAUGACACCUGGGGUCGGUUGGCAGUAAGGUUUCAUGGCUUUGCCACAAUACUACAAUAAAGUAUUAGUACACUCACUAUGCUGAGAAAGGAUAAGUAUCGGGAGUUAGUGGAAUUUUGAUAAAAUAGCCCACUGAAGCGAGUCCUCUUGUGCUACUGAAGCCAAACGGUUUUCCAUCUUUCCCAUUUUUAUUACUAAGAGUUCUGGUUUUCUUUUACUGAGUUAUGUUGGCUUCACACUAACGGUCACUAACGGAAAUCUGCCGAAUACACACAUCAGAACAAAUCAUUUAGUAUUUAAAGCUGUGAAAAUAGAUUUAAUGUGACUAAAAUGAAUCAAAGAAAGUCUGCUGACCUAGUCGUCUGAUUUGAUCACACAAUUAUGGACGUAACAGGAGUUUACUAAUGAGGGUACCUGCCUGUGUGUGUGUGUGUGUGUGUGUGUGUGUGUGUGUGUGUGUGUGUGUGUGUGUGUGUGUGUGUGUGUGUGUGUGUAUGUGUGUGUGUGUGUGU
rnacentral:lncRNA from 1 species